UCAAGCUUGAACGUGGCAGUUGGAACUGAUGGCGUCCAGGUGCCGCAAUCAGCCAUCAGAGGGGAGGCGACGCAUGGCGACGAGAGGUCCGAGAAGCGUUUCUGUUUGGUUUUUUAGAUUGUGUGCGGCUGCCCUUGGGACUGGAUGCGCGUUUGAGGUGAGCUGGGUCGCAGGGAGGAGGGGCGUGGGGCUGGGGAGAUCUUCCUUUGGAAGUGCAGUGGUAACAUGAUCUCCCGGUAUCCCUAGGGGCCACAAGGGAGGACAACAGUGUGAGGUGGGCAAGGCUACAGAGCAAGUGAGCAGAGCAGCUGGGCGCAUCUGAGAUGACGAAGAGGCAGCUGGUGACUGGAGGAGUGACGUGUGCUUGUCCUUCAGAAGGAAGGGAAGAGGGAGACUCUUGGCCCCUUGAAAGCUAAGUU